UAACCACCUCAUAAUGGGCCCAGUGGACCAUUCAAACUGGAAAGUGUUACCCUCUCACCACACCUGAAAAUCCAGCUUUACACAAGGAAAAAUGGAAAUUGGAAGUGAUUUAUUUACCCAGGCCCAGAAACGAAAAGAGGUAAGAAUGACAACAUUGAGAAAGUGAAGAUCUGGAUUCAUGGGCAGUGCCCCUCCACAAAGCUAGAAGAAGCUUUAGAAGUGCAGCUCAAAGAUGAGUACUGAACAUGAGAAAUGACUGGCUCCCGGAUCCUUUCAACCUCUUCAUAAAAUACACCAAGGUCACUGAAACAAACUGGAAGUCAGAGUGUUCUAUACAACAGUUUUACAUUAAGUAUGGAGGAGAAGAAAAGGAGAAAAAAAAAAAACUUGGCACACUCAUCUGGCAAACAAAGCUGGAGGUGAAACCAGUUGCGAAAUUUCACUCUACUGGAGUCCGGAGGAUCCAGGAAAACGGGGUUUACGUUUCAAAGUCAGCAAGAAGCGGAGGUUGCCCCGCUGCGCCGUGGAGCCCUGCGCUCGCUAGCUCCCUAGCUGGAGUAAGCACCCGGUAGCGGGAGGAGGCGCCGGGUGAGCGGCCUCGGGACAAACGCUUACCCCGGCUCGGCACUGCAGGCACAGCUAAACGCGGAUGGUGCACAC